rnacentral:rRNA from 1 species
AUUGAACGCUGGCGGAAUGCUUUACACAUGCAAGUCGAACGGCAGCACGGGGCAACCUGGUGGCGAGUGGCGAACGGGUGAGUAAUACAUCGGAACGUGCCCGAGAGUGGGGGAUAACGCAGCGAAAGCUGUGCUAAUACCGCAUACGAUCUACGGAUGAAAGCAGGGGAUUCGCAAGGACCUUGCGCUCAUGGAGCGGCCGAUGGCAGAUUAGGUAGUUGGUGGGAUAAAAGCUUACCAAGCCGACGAUCUGUAGCUGGUCUGAGAGGACGACCAGCCACACUGGGACUGAGACACGGCCCAGACUCCUACGGGAGGCAGCAGUGGGGAAUUUUGGACAAUGGGCGAAAGCCUGAUCCAGCCAUGCCGCGUGCAGGAUGAAGGCCUUCGGGUUGUAACUGCUUUUGUACGGAACGAAAGAUCUCUUCUAAUAAAGGGGUCCAUGACGGUACCGUAAGAAUAAGCACCGGCUAACUACGUGCCAGCAGCCG